GGGCCCGUAGGCUAGGGGAUAGACUGUGGGGCUUCGGACCCCACGACCCGGGUUCGAAUCCCGGCGGGCCCG
rnacentral:tRNA from 1 species